GGCAAAUGCCCUUAAUGUCAACGUGUGAAGGCGAAACCGGUUGUUAGUGGUAAUAACAGGGCAGUGAAAGGGCAUAAUUACCAUAAUGAUAACCUAACAUUUAAUAUUCUUAGUGAGACAGUCGAAUGUGGCAGUCUUUGGAAAGACGAUCAUUGCUGUAUGAGAAUUGAGAAAUGCUCUUAAUAUGUCAAAUGUAUGAAUCACAGGAACACAACUGGAAGUUCACUGCACGAUCUGUGAGUUCCCAUAAGUAAUGAUCACUAUUCGUUGUUUGACCCUGCAUUGCACACGGAUGGGAAUGUCUGUUUUGCAAUUGAAUUGUUUCACGUUAUCGGUCACAUUAAAGGUGCUGCGUUUAGUUCAUGUGUACUGCGCUUCUGUAUACGUGGUUCCUCCCCUCCUGUUGUCAUCACCAUGCGCAACGCGUUUCGCUUCAAAUGCUUCUUCAGGUAGCACACAGCAAUGAAGGAAACUCUAAAAUAUAAGCUCUGAUAUCACAAUCUCACGGACACAAAGCGGCGGACACCAGUGCGGAAGUCGAUUGCAGACCCGGAUCUCACUAGGGUGGGACGCACAUCGUCAUUUUAUAUAUAAGCAUUUGCACCUCGAACAGAGUUAACUCAGGAACAGAACUAGGGAUCGUGUUC